GCAGAAGAGACCUGAAGGACAGAAGUAGGCGAUGAAAUAGCAAAGUGGGAACUGGGAGAAGAAACUGACUAGACUUGAAAGCAUAGCCGAGAUGAGAAGCAUGGAGUAGCAUGCUGGUAAGAUGGAACCAGGGCUGAUGUUGCUGGGGAAAGUAGUCCAGCCUGGCUUGCCAGAGGAUUUAAUAGUUUCUUGUGUGUAAAUCAGAGGCUGAAUCAUAGGAAAUUACUCAUAUUUGACCGUAUUUUACCUAUAAAAACAACAGUUUCAUAUGAUACAACCUAUUUGUUGACUUGACUAGCUAGCUUCGUGGCAAAAAAGAAGUAAAAGGAAUCAUAAUGGUCCGCAGGGCAUUAACAACCUAAGUAAAACUUUCACUGGGACAGGAAUAGACAAAGGAGACACUCUCCAAUAAUUAGAAAAUAAAGAGCAACUACAAUUAUUUGUGAAUAUGGCGGUGAGUUUCCUUUAAUCAAAGACAACCAUGACAAAUUUAUUAACUAUCAAAAGCUACAUUUUACUAAAAACAAUCUGCCUUUAAAAAUGUUGAAUCAUACAAUAUGUACGAUACAUGCCGCUUUCCGUUUUGGACUUCACUAUCCAUUUGAGUCCUAAAAAGGGGAAGAAUAGCUGGUUAACAGUUUAUAAAUGAUAAACCAAAAGUUCAUAUAAUAUACAUAAAUUAAAUCCAA
rnacentral:lncRNA from 1 species